UCCUAGGUGGCUCAGCUGGUAAAGAAUCUGCCUGCCAAGCAGGAGACCUGGGUUGGAUCCCUGGGUUGGGAA
rfam:TPA: Bos taurus chromosome 1, whole genome shotgun sequence.